rnacentral:rRNA from 1 species
AGAGUUUGAUCCUGGCUCAGGACGAACGCUGGCGGCGUGCCUAAUACAUGCAAGUCGAGCGAAUCAAUUGGGAGCUUGCUCCCUUUUGGUUAGCGGCGGACGGGUGAGUAACACGUGGGUAACCUGCCUGUAAGACUGGGAUAACUCCGGGAAACCGGGGCUAAUACCGGAUAAGUUUUUCCUCCGCAUGGAGGAACAUUGAAAGAUGGCUUCGGCUAUCACUUACAGAUGGACCCGCGGCGCAUUAGCUAGUUGGUGAGGUAACGGCUCACCAAGGCAACGAUGCGUAGCCGACCUGAGAGGGUGAUCGGCCACACUGGGACUGAGACACGGCCCAGACUCCUACGGGAGGCAGCAGUAGGGAAUCUUCCGCAAUGGACGAAAGUCUGACGGAGCAACGCCGCGUGAGUGAUGAAGGUUUUCGGAUCGUAAAACUCUGUUGUUAGGGAAGAACAAGUACCGUUCGAAUAGGGCGGUGCCUUGACGGUACCUAACCAGAAAGCCACGGCUAACUACGUGCCAGCAGCCGCGGUAAUACGUAGGUGGCAAGCGUUGUCCGGAAUUAUUGGGCGUAAAGCGCGCGCAGGCGGUUUCUUAAGUCUGAUGUGAAAGCCCACGGCUCAACCGUGGAGGGUCAUUGGAAACUGGGAGACUUGAGUGCAGAAGAGGAGAGUGGAAUUCCACGUGUAGCGGUGAAAUGCGUAGAUAUGUGGAGGAACACCAGUGGCGAAGGCGACUCUCUGGUCUGUAACUGACGCUGAGGCGCGAAAGCGUGGGGAGCGAACAGGAUUAGAUACCCCCGUAGUCC